rnacentral:misc_RNA from 1 species
GAUGAAGAACGUAGUGAAAUGCGAUAACUAAUGUGAAUUGCAGAAUUCAGUGAAUCAUCGAAUCUUUGAACGCACAUUGCGCCCUUUGGUAUUCCAAAGGGCAUGCCUGUUCGAGCGUCAUUUGUACCCUCAAGCUUUGCUUGGUGUUGGGCGUCUUGUCUCUAGCUUUGCUGGAGACUCGCCUUAAAGUAAUUGGCAGCCGGCCUACUGGUUUCGGAGCGCAGCACAAGUCGCACUCUCUAUCAGCAAAGGUCUAGCAUCCAUUAAGCCUUUUUUUCAACUUUUGACCUCGGAUCAGGUAGGGAUACCCGCUGAACUUAAGCAUAUCAAUAAGCGGAGGA